AUCAUUCGAUAUUAAGUUGUAUUCCGCGUGUCUUUAAGUGCGUUCAUAAAACUUUUUUUUUUAUUACAACAAACGAUAAAAAUAGCAAAUCCUUACGUAGAUAUAUGCACAUCUAUGGUCUUUUUAAUUACUUUAGCCUACACAAAACUUAGCUGAACCUAAUUUUUUUCGUUGGUUGCGCAAGUUUCCAGUACAGUUUCAUAUAAUUAAAUGCGAUUCGUUAAUAUUGGUGUCGAGGUCUGCACGAUAUGCGAUAUUUUCGUAGCAUAUAAUCUAAAUGCGAUGAAGUUUAAAACAAAGUUAGGCUAGUUGUAGUAGCCUAUCGCUGACUGCGGCACCGCAUGUUCUUCAUAAAACUCGUUAUGCUAGCUGUGCCAUGAGAGGGUUAGACCAGUGCAAUACACACUAGGUUGAUAAAAUGUUCAGAGACGGGAAAUUAAUAUUGCUCGUUUAUUAAAACGUGCCUCUGCAGAGAGAACACAACAACACCGCCUCCAACAGAACCAGAAGAGGACGUUGCAUCGCUCAUGUUCCCACAAAGCCUUGCAAGCGACCUUACAAUGAAAUUUAAUACGUUUUUUUACGUUUCGGCGCCAUUUUCGAUUGGGCUGGAGGUGUUCUGAUGGCCCUUCAUGACCAGGACAGUGAGCCGGUUGCUGUAGGCCAGGCUGGGGCCUUGUGAGAACUGGUGUGUGGACCAGCCAUUACCGCAGACGCUGAAGCAUUUUACAUGGCCGUGGUACUUGUGUGGGAUGGAAAAGAGGAGGUGGGGGAGGGGAGUUUUCUCAUUGAGGUGGGGAGAGGAGAUGUGUGUACACUGAGCUUGGGACUUCCCCCUCCCACCCCCCGCACGGUUUACCCACCGCAGAUGCAUUUGCGCCCCCAGCACUGCUGACUGUAUGGCAGGAGAUGAAAUGUCUCUUGGAUCUGAUCUUUAGUGUGUCCUCUGCUUUAGAAAUGCUGAAAGCCGGGCGUGCGGUCUGCUCUAACCCUUCUGUGCUGGCUGUGAUGUGAUCUGAGACGGGGGACAGAGCCGGCCUAACUUGCCGUCGAUUUAAAAAUCUAAUUCAAGUGAGUGUUCAUCACGGCACGGGUAUAGUUUCGGCGAGAAGACGCUGACAUUUUAUAUAUAUUUCUGUACAGAUCUGCGUGAAAACUGAUGUGUAUUGGUAUUGUGUUGGUAAAAAAAUAGAAGAAAUGCCUGCUCAUUUGGGAACCUUGUUUAUAUUUAAUGGUGGCAUCAAAUCAAGAGAGAGAGAGUGUGUGUGUGAGUGUGUGUGUAUAUGUAUGUGUGUGAGUGUGUGAAUGUGUGUGUGUGUGUAUAUGUAUAUGUGUGUGUGUGUGUAUAUAUAUAUGUGUGAGUGUGUGUGUAUAUGUGUGAGUGUGUGUGUGUGUGUGUGUGUGAAUGUGAGUGUGUGUGUGUGAAUGUAUGUGUGUGAGUGUGUGAAUGUGUGUGUGUAUAUGUAUAUGUGAAUGUGUGUGUGUGUGUGUGUGUAUAUAUAUAUGUGUGAGUGUGUGUGUAUGUGUGUGUGUGUAUAUGUAUAUGUGUGAGUGUGUGUGUG